UACGUAGGCAGCAAGCGUUGUUCGGAGUUACUGGGCGUAAAGGGUGCGUAGGCGGCCCUGUAAGUAUGGUGUGAAAUCUCCCGGCUUAACUGGGAGGGUGCGCUAUAGACUGCGGGGCUCGAGUGUGGUAGGGGAGACUGGAAUUCCUGGUGUAGAGGUGAAAUUCGUAGAUAUCGGGAGGAACACCAGUGGCGAAGGCGGCUUUCUGGACAUUUACUGACGCUGAGACGCGAAAGCGUGGGGAGCGAACAGG
rnacentral:rRNA from 1 species